rnacentral:rRNA from 1 species
GAUGAACGCUAGCUACAGGCUUAACACAUGCAAGUCGAGGGGAAACGGCAUUGAGUGCUUGCACUCUUUGGACGUCGACCGGCGCACGGGUGAGUAACGCGUAUCCAACCUUCCCAUUACUGUGGGAUAACCUGCCGAAAGGCAGACUAAUACCGCAUAGUCUUCGAUGACGGCAUCAGAUUUGAAGUAAAGAUUUAUCGGUAAUGGAUGGGGAUGCGUCUGAUUAGCUUGUUGGCGGGGUAACGGCCCACCAAGGCUACGAUCAGUAGGGGUUCUGAGAGGAAGGUCCCCCACAUUGGAACUGAGACACGGUCCAAACUCCUACGGGAGGCAGCAGUGAGGAAUAUUGGUCAAUGGACGGAAGUCUGAACCAGCCAAGUAGCGUGCAGGAUGACGGCCCUAUGGGUUGUAAACUGCUUCUGUAUGGGGAUAAAGUUAGGGACGUGUCCCUAUUUGCAGGUACCAUACGAAUAAGGACCGGCUAAUUCCGUGCCAGCAGCCGCGGUAAUACGGAAGGUCCAGGCGUUAUCCGGAUUUAUUGGGUUUAAAGGGAGCGUAGGCUGGAGAUUAAGUGUGUUGUGAAAUGUAGACGCUCAACGUCUGAAUUGCAGCGCAUACUGGUUUCCUUGAGUACGCACAACGUUGGCGGAAUUCGUCGUGUAGCGGUGAAAUGCUUAGAUAUGACGAAGAACUCCGAUUGCGAAGGCAGCUGACGGGAGCGCAACUGACGCUUAAGCUCGAAGGUGCGGGUAUCAAACAGG